AUUGAACGCUGGCGGCAGGCUUAACACAUGCAAGUCGAGCGGGGUGAUGGUGCUUGCACUAUCACUUAGCGGCGGACGGGUGAGUAAUGCUUAGGAAUCUGCCUAUUAGUGGGGGACAACAUCUCGAAAGGGAUGCUAAUACCGCAUACGUCCUACGGGAGAAAGCAGGGGAUCACUUGUGACCUUGCGCUAAUAGAUGAGCCUAAGUCGGAUUAGCUAGUUGGUGGGGUAAAGGCCUACCAAGGCGACGAUCUGUAGCGGGUCUGAGAGGAUGAGCCGCCACACUGGGACAGAGACACGGCCCAGACUCCUACGCGAGGCAGCAGUGGGGAAUAUUGGACAAUGGGGGGAACCCUGAUCCAGCCAUGCCGCGUGUGUGAAGAAGGCCUUAUGGUUGUAAAGCACUUUAAGCGAGGAGGAGGCUCUUUUGGUUAAUACCCAAGAUGAGUGGACGUUACUCGCAGAAUAAGCACCGGCUAACUCUGUGCCAGCCGCCGCGGUAA
rnacentral:rRNA from 1 species